AUGGGCCAUGAGGUGGGACCACUGAGGACCUGGAAGCCCCCAUGCAGAUUAGCAGAGGCUACACUCCUGUUGCUGCAGAGAACCUGACUCCAGGCCACACUGAAGUUCCCAGCUGUGAACAGGAGCUCACAUUUCAUGCUGACAUAGUUAUAUCACUUGGGCAUCACAAGUAAGACUUGGUCGUUAGGAAUAUUACGCCUGGAUAUCACGCCUGGGGAGCCAGGGCUGGCCUGAGGUAGUCUGCUAGUUGGUUACUAUUUGAAUAUUUGUGCCAAUCUCAAGACGGCAAAACAGCCCUUUCUUUUUUUCCUUCCCCCCAGCACCACACGGCUUACAAGGCCUUAGUUCCUCCACCCAGGGACUGAACCUGGGCCAUGGCAGUGAAAGCACCAAGUCCUAACCACUGGACUGCCAGGGAAUUCCCCAAACACCCCCUCCUUUGGAAUUAGCAUAGUUGGGUCCCCUAAAGUAUCAGCGAUAUUAUUUGGGGGUUAGAACCCCUGGGAGGGAUCCUGAAACCUGCUUAUCCAAGGUCACCAACCAGAAAGCAGCCUGAAAUCUGAGAGCACCACGGGGAGGCUGACUCUCCCCAGGCCUGACCCUGAGACGCAGAUGUAAGUGAUUUUCUGGGAUUCCAGGGGGUGGCUACAAGAGGCUGGGUGACUCCUGGUGACAUUCUGUGAUCCUGCCUAUGUGGACCUGGAGGUGGGGGUGGGCUAGGAUGGGAAAGGAGAUGUUGAUUUUUUUUUUUUUUGUGGUACGCGGGCCUCUCACUGUUGUGGCCUCUCCCGUUGCGGAGCACAGGCUCCAGACGUGCAGGCUCAGCGGCCAUGGCUCACGGGCCCAGACGCUCCGUGGCAUGUGGGAUCUUCCCGGACCGGGGCAUGAACCCGUGUCCCCUCCAUCGGCAGGCGGACUCUCAACCACUGCGCCACCAGUGAAGCCCGAUGUUGAUGUUUUAACGUGGUCCUGAACUUCAGCUCAGCCAAACUUCAGAAAGUUAAAGAAACGGAACAUUUAGGGGUUACCAGGGCUCUCGUGUCUCUGCCUCCUCCAUGUCCUUUCCUUCUGCUCUUUGAUUACUUAUCCUGGGGGUCAGGGCUGUGGGGAGAGGGGAUGGAGUCAGAGCUGCACUGAAAGCAGCCACCACGGAGGAGAGGUCUGCCUCCAUCCUGACAAAAGAACCAAGGCAAAAGGAAGGCCAGCUUAGGCUACCAGGGGAAGAAAAGCGAGUAUCUGCUCACCACAUGCACAUGCUCUGGGGAAUGGGAACUGCUAUCUGUGCAAUGCCCUUGAUCCUCUGAUUUAAUAUGGCCCACUUUGGUUUUAGGGAAAACACUCUGCUUCCUGACGCUCACUGUUUUCUAAAUCCUCACAUACCUUCUGUGCAGUAAUCCAUUCUUGAAUUUUGCCAAGGAUCCACAUCAAAAUUUCUUGUCUACAGUUUUUAGUAUAUAUUAUUUUCAUCAUAUUGCAAAUAGAGCUAUCUGUCCUUUCCUGGUCUUGCAGCAUCUCUCUGAUCUUCAUGGUUUCUCAAAGACUAUUGACAGGGAUUCUGAGAAUAAGGCUCCGGUGCUGUCAGUUGUCUGGGGUGGAAUCACCUGGGCCUGGCAGAUUGAGCUCAUUAAAAUCUUACUGUCUUCUCACCUGGGAGGUCUGUCUGGUCUCUCCAGGCAUGCAAUGGUAAUUUAGAAGUUCUACCUUCUCCCUUAUCUAUGGCUUUUGUUAUCUUCCCAAGCAGUGACCUUUCCUCUCACAUCUCUUGCUCUGAAGAGGCUAAUUUAGAAAUAACUCUUGAUGUCUCUCUCCUUUUCCACAAGCAAUCUUUCAUUCUGGGCUUAAUCCUUUGGACAAUACUCUUAGUCUUUUAUGACUAUUCAAUAAAUAUAAGUAAAAAUAAUUUGUUAAUUAUGAUAUAUUGAUUUGAUUAAAUCAAUCAACACUUAGGUCGGAUUUCAGUCGGCUCCCCAAUCCCCCCUCAGCCCACAGAGGAAACGAUGCCCACCUGUGGAUGCCCACUGAAUAGUGUUGGGAAAGCUCUGGAGGAUGUUUUGCUGGUACCUCCAGACACAACUGUAUGGUCAGACCAUUCAAGAUGGCUGUUCUCUUGCUCUCUGUCCAUUCUCUGCUGACCAGCCCCUCCUUCACCUACAUGACUAUCCAAUCUGCUUAACUAUAGGGCUUAAUCAGUAACCACCUACAUGCUUGCCCCCACCCCCAGGCUCUGGUUUCCCUGGUGAGCCUACUUCACAUCAAUUCUCCCUAUAAAUGGUCGCCUCCCUCACCGAGUAGUGAAGAUUGCUGCCUUGUUCUGCCUGCUGUUUGCCGAACACUGUGGAGCGUUGCUCCAGGACCUUUGUUUAGGACUUUUGGUGACUGGUGUGGCCAGGGAGGAAAGGGGCCUGGGAGUGACCACCCACCUCUGGAAGCAUGACUGAGCUGAGCCUGAAGCCUCUGGUUUUCUUCCCUAAGGACUCUGUUCUCACUGCAGAGCUGAGGUGUGGACUCCAGGCCCGGACUGUAGAAGUUAGAGCUCACCUGAAAGAAAGUGGCUCAGGAGAAAGCCUAGAACUGUGGAGCCCCAGAACUGAUCUCUGUCAUCUGUUUCUUCAAGAAGUAGAGAAACAGAGAUCUUCAUAAAGAAAUGAUCCAUAUGAGGGCUGAGAUACUCCAGCGAUUAGAGCAGAGGAGAAAACCUAAAAGACAGUGGAGGGACCUGAACUGAGCCCACACACUGAAAACACAGAACUGAGGCAGGAGACGGAAGAAAGAAAAUCAGCAGGUUUGGAGGACGAAAAAAACCCAAAGAAAAGCAAGGUAAUGGUGGAGGAGGUGGUUGCCAAGGAAGGUGAGAAUAAGAACCAGCUGAGUUCAGAAAAGUCAAGAGAACGUGAGGAAUGCACACAGCAUCAUCCAGGUCCUCAAUGAGCAGCCUGAGCUGAGCAGGGAGGACUGAGAGAGUAACUUACUGCAAAGUGAACUUGUGCACAUGCCAAGGAGAUCCACAGGACGGAUCAGGGCUGGUUUAUACUUCUGGGAACACCAAUUCCAGGAGGAGGAGGAUGGGACCUUGAUGCUCUGCCCUAGGCCCCCCAAACCUCAAACUUGGAACUGCCCACAUAGUGGAUGCCCUCCAACUGCAUGGUCUCUUCUGGUCCAAGAACCCUGGUUCUCAGUUAGCUUUGAGCCUCUCAGGAUCCAACUAACACCUGGGCUCCAUGUUGCCUCAAAGCAAUCAACACUGCCAAGGUCUCCAGAGAAAACUACUAAUAACAGUAGUUACUGACUAUGUCCUGGCCAGCUGGAGAGAUA